UAGAUGGCUAGAGCGGAGACCUUUGCUCAGUUUGCAGCUCUGCACCUCGGCCCUCCCGGGAUUGCUCGCUGGACACGCUGUGUCCUCUGGGAUUUUCCUGUGACCAGGACACCUCAGUUUCCUCCCCGAGGCUUGCAGCUGAGGAGGUGCAGAAGUUAAUGACGUGAUGACCAGGCUGCAGCCAGGACAUAAGCUCUCAUGAUUCCGGGAACUGGCCUCAAGAUGUGGGAAGAAACCGACCCUGGAAGUGAAGAUCAGCUGCAGUUGAAACAACCAAGGAUCAGACCACUGCUGACCAGCUUCAAGAUAACUUGUCAGAGCUGACUGUGUGUUUCAAGAAGCCUCCUCCCUUUGUCUAUAAAAGCUCUUAGCCCCCAAUUGUCAGGGGCAGGUAGUCAGCCUUUGUACAGGCUCCCGCCCCCACCCCUGCCCCACAAGUGCCAGCAACAAAAUAAAGCAAACUUUGCUGUCCAGCAACCUGGCUUCCUUAUUGCCUUUUGGGCUGCAAGCAGACGGACCCGGCUUUUGGUAACAGGAGCAGACACUGAUCAUCAUUUUAAAUGAAUAUAUGUAUAUAUAUUUUUUUAAUCUUCAAAACUAUUGAGAGUAAAUAAAUGAUUAUUGCCAAAAAAAAAAGAAGAAGAAGAGAGAGAGAGAUUUCUAAAGUAAAAUGCCAUACCUAACAAAAAGCUUGAGUUCCUGGAGAAAGAGGGGGAGAGCUAUUAGCGAAUUGAUUGAACUUAGUAACAAUUGCUUUUCCGUGGUGAAGGAGAAGUGUUUAUUACUUAAAAUAAGGCUUUGGACUUCUUCCAGAACUGACUGUCAUUCUGCGCAAUCAUUGAGCCUGGGUCAAGAAUGAAACCCUUAAACAAUGUCAAGCAAUUAUAAGAGCGAAGCAAUCCCUUGAUUCUGCCUGACGCUGGGAGGAAGGACAUUGUAUGUAUCCAUGACUCAACUACCCUAUGCUGGUUACCAAUUUUAAAAAUGUAAAACCGUAAACAGCUACAGCCCAAGGCCAUUGUUGAAUUGUCUGUCCA
ensembl:lncRNA